rnacentral:rRNA from 1 species
UACGAAGGGUGCAAACGUUGCUCGGAAUUAUUGGGCGUAAAGCGCACGUAGGCGGCAUUGCAAGUCGGAUGUGAAAUCCCUCGGCUUAACCAAGGAAGUGCAUCCGAAACUGCAGUGCUUGAGUACUUAAGAGGAUCGCGGAAUUCCCGGUGUAGAGGUGAAAUUCGUAGAUAUCAGGAGGAACACCGGUGGCGAAGGCGGGUCUCUGGGCCGAUAUCGACGCUGAGGAGCGAAAGCGUGGGGAGCGAACAGG